rnacentral:rRNA from 1 species
AUGGCCAACCGAGCCGUCAGUACGCCAAGGUGGAUGCCUUCACUGGCGAGCCGUUCAAGGGCAACCCGGCGGCGGCGUGCCUCCUGGACGAUGACGACCGGUGGCUUCAGUCCGUCGCUGCGGAGUUCAACGUAUCCCAGACGGCCUUCCUCUUCCGCCGCGAUGGAGGCUCCAGCUCGUCGUCCCCGCACCGAGGUCCCGCUGUGCGGGCACGGAACACUGGCGUCCGCCCACUUCCUCUUCACCGCCGUCCUCGCGAAGCAGCAAGACGUGAUCGAGUUCGUGACCGAGUCCGGGAUCCUGACCGCCUGGAAGGUUCCCGGAGCAAGUUCGCGGCCGCGGGUGACGGAGGAGGAGCAGGCGAAGCCGUUCAUCGAGCUGGAUUUCCCCACGAGCGAUGUUCUCGUGGACUGCAGCUCCACCCACGAGCUGCCGUCCAUAUUCCUGAAGGCCGCGCCCAUAGUCGGUGUUCACCGAGGAGCAACCACCGACGACUUCAUCGUAGGACCCUGUUUGUGGCAGUGCACAUUGUGCUCUAGCACCAUACUGGGCCCGAAAACUGGGCAAACGAAGACUGACGGCGUUUCAAGCAUCUAA